CCGUGCUAGGUGGGGAGGUAGCGGUGCCCUGUACCUGCAACCCGCUAUAGCAGGAUCGAAAGCCCGCGUUGAGGCAGCGCAGCUGUGGGGUCUGGCGCCAAUAAGUGGCGAUGACGGUCGGGUCCUGGGCGGUUGGCCUCUGUGAACCCCGUCAGGUCCGGAAGGAAGCAGCGGUAAGCAGAUGUGCCAAGGCGCCCCAGGCCAGCCUGCCCGGAGCUAACUGUUGGAGGGCCGCCUGGAGCUGGUUGUCGAAAGCGGGGCACGG
rnacentral:SRP_RNA from 1 species